CUUCGUCUUCCGCUCCGUAGGCCCGGCCGGCGCCCGCCGACGCAUUUAUUUGCAACUUGUUUUUUUCCAGGUUGACCUCGGAUCAGGUAGGGAUACCCGCUGAACUUAAGCAUAUCAAUAAGCGGAGAAA
rnacentral:rRNA from 1 species